GGAAAUUGGAAUUCUUAAUCUUUCUUAGAAUUAUAGUUCUAGAUUGGAUAAUUAUCCCAAAUAAUAAAAUAAUGACACAUGUCACAUUUUGUUUUCAGCGACCAUUUUAACAAACUCCAGUAUAAGACAAAGAUCGGUAGUAACUCUGGCCAUAGUAGCAAAAGAAGAAAAAAUUUCAGGGUGUUUAGCAUGAGGAAACUGAACCUUCACAAUGUGGCUCCAAGUUUACCCUUACAUCCUGAUCUCAAUGAAGUAGCAGAUGGACUUCAUGAAAUUCAGUGGUUUUCCAAGUACGAAUGACAAACUGCUUGAAUGCACCCACUAAUACAUCAUUGCACCAGUACGUGGUCCUUUUGGUCCUUGACUUUCUUACCAAAC
rnacentral:lncRNA from 1 species